rnacentral:rRNA from 1 species
UAGGGAAUCUUCGGCAAUGGACGAAAGUCUGACCGAGCAACGCCGCGUGAGUGAAGAAGGUUUUCGGAUCGUAAAACUCUGUUGUUAGAGAAGAACAAGGACGUUAGUAACUGAACGUCCCCUGACGGUAUCUAACCAGAAAGCCACGGCUAACUACGUGCCAGCAGCCGCGGUAAUACGUAGGUGGCAAGCGUUGUCCGGAUUUAUUGGGCGUAAAGCGAGCGCAGGCGGUUUCUUAAGUCUGAUGUGAAAGCCCCCGGCUCAACCGGGGAGGGUAAUUGGAAACUGGGAGACUUGAGUGCAGAAGAGGAGAGUGGAAUUCCAUGUGUGGCGGUGAAAUGCGUAGAUAUAUGGAGGAACACCAGUGGCGAAGGCGGCUCUCUGGUCUGUAACUGACGCUGAGGCUCGAAAGCGUGGGGAGCAAACAGG